rnacentral:rRNA from 1 species
UGGGGAAUAUUGCACAAUGGGCGCAAGCCUGAUGCAGCCAUGCCGCGUGUAUGAAGAAGGCCUUCGGGUUGUAAAGUACUUUCAGUCGGGAGGAAGGUGGUAAGGUUAAUAACCUUGGCAAUUGACGUUACCGACAGAAGAAGCACCGGCUAACUCCGUGCCAGCAGCCGCGGUAAUACGGAGGGUGCAAGCGUUAAUCGGAAUUACUGGGCGUAAAGCGCACGCAGGCGGUUGAUUGAGUCAGAUGUGAAAUCCCCGGGCUUAACCCGGGAAUUGCAUCUGAUACUGGUCAGCUAGAGUCUUGUAGAGGGGGGUAGAAUUCCAUGUGUAGCGGUGAAAUGCGUAGAGAUGUGGAGGAAUACCGGUGGCGAAGGCGGCCCCCUGGACAAAGACUGACGCUCAGGUGCGAAAGCGUGGGGAGCAAACAG